rnacentral:rRNA from 1 species
GACGAACGCUGGCGGCGUGCCUAAUACAUGCAAGUCGAACGCUGAAGAGAGGAGCUUGCUCUUCUUGGAUGAGUUGCGAACGGGUGAGUAACGCGUAGGUAACCUGCCUUGUAGCGGGGGAUAACUAUGGGAAACGAUAGCUAAUACCGCAUAACAAUGGAUUACACAUGUCAUUUAUUUGAAAGGGGCAGUUGCUCCACUACAAGAUGGACCUGCGGUGUUUUAGCUAGUAGGUGGGGUACUGGCGCACCUAGGCGACGUUACAUAGCCGAACUGAGAGGGUGGUCGGCCAGACUGGGACGGAGACACGGCACAGACUGCUACGGGAGGCAGCAGUAGGGAAACUUCGGCAAGGGGGGCAACCCUGACCGAGCAACGCCGCGGGAGUGAAGAAGGUUGUCGGAUCGGAAAGCUCUGUUGUAAGUCAAGAACGGGUGUGAGAGUGGAAAGUUCACACUGUGACGGUAGCUGACCAGAAAGGGACGGCUAACUACGUG